rnacentral:precursor_RNA from 1 species
CGGCAGUCGUCCAAACAUAGCGCAGCAAGCCGCGCGCGGCAGUCGCGCUUGAAUGCCGCGCUGUGUUUGGACACACCU